rnacentral:piRNA from 1 species
UUUGAUGUGAGAAGCACGUUGUGUGUUUGU